rnacentral:rRNA from 1 species
AUAUUAUUAAGNGGAGGAAAAGAAACCAAACGGGAUUCCCCCAGUAGCGGCGAGCGAAAAGGGAUCAGCCCAAAGCCGAAUCCCGUACCCACAGGGUGCCGGGAAAUGUGGCGUAUGGGAGACGCACUUCUAGGCGUGGAAGGCGACUCAAGUCCCCUCGAAUGGGGCCACGACCGAAGCGGGUGCGAGUCCCGUACAGUCGCUCUUCUCGUCCUGAAUUGGCGUUCUCCCGGGAGUCGGGUUGCUUGAAAGUGCAGCCCAAAGUGGGUGGUAUGCUCCACCUAAGGCUAAAUAUUCCCGAGAGACCGAUAGCAAAAAAGUACCGUGAGGGAAAGUUGAAAAGAACUUUGAAGAGAGAGUUCAAUAGUACGUGAAACCGCUUAGAGGUAAACGGGUGGGCCCACGAAGUCCGAAGAGAGAGCGAUUCAGUUACUGGCUUGUCGCGUUUAGGGUAUUGUUCGCAGGCCAACGACAGGCCUCGUUCCUACCCAGGCGCGCUCGUCGGGGACUCAUUUCUGUUCGAUCUGUAAGAGGCCGCGACUGGUUGGUAGACGGUAGGAAGGACGGCAUGUAGGAAAGGUGACCUACCUAGGUGGGUGUUACAGCCUCGCGCAGUAUAGCCGAUCGUCUAACCGACUUAGGACGAGAGAACCUCGAACGGCGUUCCCUCCGAACGGAGCUAGCUGUAAAAGCGACAGGGUCGUUUUCCAAUCUUUUACGGCCUCGGCCGAGARGAUAUAGGAGGCGACCGGUCGCCUUUUUGGCCAGCAGGGAUGAGCCAGGGUCUGCGGUCAGUAGAUCGGGUCCCACCCGACCCGUCUUG